rnacentral:rRNA from 1 species
AAAGAGGGGGGAGCACCAAGACACCAGUCACGAUUACAAGCUUUUCAAGAUGCUUUAUCCGACUGUUCUUUAGAAGAUAUUGGCUAUUUUGGUGAUACUUUCACAUGGUUCCGCGGCGGUCUAAAAGAGAGGCUAGAUCGGGCUGUCUCCAAUGAUGCGUGGAUGGAACUACACCCCCUGGUAGGACUGACAAAUUUGGAAAUGGGGAAGUCUGAUCAUCGACCCAUAUGUUUGGACACGGACUACCUAUCAGGGGUAGCGGCCGCAACACGAAAACGUGAACGCAGAUUUGAAGCAAGGUGGCUUGCUGAGGAGACCGUUGAGGAGAUUGGUUAG